GAUGAACGCUGGCGGCGUGCCUAAUACAUGCAAGUCGAGCGAACGGACGAGAAGCUUGCUUCUCUGAUGUUAGCGGCGGACGGGUGAGUAACACGUGGAUAACCUACCUAUAAGACUGGGAUAACUUCGGGAAACCGGAGCUAAUACCGGAUAAUAUUUUGAACCGCAUGGUUCAAAAGUGAAAGACGGUCUUGCUGUCACUUAUAGAUGGAUCCGCGCUGCAUUAGCUAGUUGGUAAGGUAACGGCUUACCAAGGCAACGAUGCAUAGCCGACCUGAGAGGGUGAUCGGCCACACUGGAACUGAGACACGGUCCAGACUCCUACGGGAGGCAGCAGUAGGGAAUCUUCCGCAAUGGGCGAAAGCCUGACGGAGCAACGCCGCGUGAGUGAUGAAGGUCUUCGGAUCGUAAAACUCUGUUAUUAGGGAAGAACAUAUGUGUAAGUAACUGUGCACAUCUUGACGGUACCUAAUCAGAAAGCCACGGCUAACUACGUGCCAGCAGCCGCGGUAAUACGUAGGUGGCAAGCGUUAUCCGGAAUUAUUGGGCGUAAAGCGCGCGUAGGCGGUUUUUUAAGUCUGAUGUGAAAGCCCACGGCUCAACCGUGGAGGGUCAUUGGAAACUGGAAAACUUGAGUGCAGAAGAGGAAAGUGGAAUUCCAUGUGUAGCGGUGAAAUGCGCAGAGAUACGGAGGAACACCAGUGGCGAAGGCGACUUUCUGGUCUGUAACUGACGCUGAUGUGCGAAAGCGUGGGGAUCAAACAGGAUUAGAUACCCUGGUAGUCCACGCCGUAAACGAUGAGUGCUAAGUAUUAGGGGGUUUCCGCCCCUUAGUGCUGCAGCUAACGCAUUAAGCACUCCGCCUGGGGAGUACGACCGCAAGGUUGAAACUCAAAGGAAUUGACGGGGACCCGCACAAGCGGUGGAGCAUGUGGUUUAAUUCGAAGCAACGCGAAGAACCUUACCAAAUCUUGACAUCCUUUGACAACUCUAGAGAUAGAGCUUUCCCCUUCGGGGGACAAAGUGACAGGUGGUGCAUGGUUGUCGUCAGCUCGUGUCGUGAGAUGUUGGGUUAAGUCCCGCAACGAGCGCAACCCUUAAGCUUAGUUGCCAUCAUUAAGUUGGGCACUCUAAGUUGACUGCCGGUGACAAACCGGAGGAAGGUGGGGAUGACGUCAAAUCAUCAUGCCCCUUAUGAUUUGGGCUACACACGUGCUACAAUGGACAAUACAAAGGGCAGCGAAACCGCGAGGUCAAGCAAAUCCCAUAAAGUUGUUCUCAGUUCGGAUUGUAGUCUGCAACUCGACUACAUGAAGCUGGAAUCGCUAGUAAUCGUAGAUCAGCAUGCUACGGUGAAUACGUUCCCGGGUCU
rnacentral:rRNA from 1 species